GCCACGGUGCCGGAGUGGAAAAAUAUUCCACAAACGGGUCGGGCUCGAGACCCGAUGCCCCUUUUCGGGGCACGCAGGUUCGAAUCCUGCCCGUGGCG
rnacentral:tRNA from 1 species